rnacentral:lncRNA from 1 species
AUGUAUCCACUGUCUGGAGACACAUACAUGCUCAGCAUCUUUUAUUUUUAUUUUUUCUUAGAUGCAUGGAUCAUUGCUUUGAUUAUCAUUAUUGCAAUUGUUGCAGUUGCUGUAAUGUGUCUCUUCCUGUACAGAUUUUUCGAAAACAGGAAGAAAGGGAAAACAGAGGUUAGAGUUCAAUACACCACUUGCCAGAAAAAGUCAUCUAUUUCAGCUGAGCAAAUUGCGUGA